rnacentral:lncRNA from 1 species
CCCUUUGGACUUAGACUGAAGCAAGUUACCAGCUUCCCUGGUUCUCCAGCUUGCAAAUGACCUAUCAUGAAACUUCUCAGCUUCAAUAAUCAGAGCUUCAACCAGCACUACUACUUGAGGACCUAUGCAGUGUUUGUCCAUGAGCAUGGAAUGACUCAUACUGGCCUCAGAGUUAGGGACUCACUUUAAAGGAAAGGGGAUGCAGUAGUGGGCACAUGACUAAGAAAUCCACCGAUCCUCUCAUAUACUGCACCACCAGAAGCUGCUGGAUUAGCAGAGCAAAGGUCACAGAACGUUUUCCUGAAUCGGAUUCUGGGUUAAAGCUGCCAGUAGGAAGAAUUCACAUGAGAUUUCAAAGGUGGAAGAGAAGGAGAAGGUGUUUUUUUCUUGCAACAGUUUGGCUGGGGAGCUGAGAUCUUCACUGAGGGCUUCCUUUGGCUCCGGGUUCCCGUGGACAGGCAGCCGAUGUCAUCAGUGGUGGCUUCUCUGUGAUCACUAUACCACCAGGUCUCCUAAAGUGGCCUUCUUGACCUUUGCCUCCCCAGCUCUUUCAAUGGUUAUGUGAAACUCUAAUUAUGUACAUUAAAUAUCUUUCAGCUCAUAAUACAUAGAGUCAUUUCCCUCCCC